UGAGAUUUUGCUUUAGAUUUUGCUUUAGAUUUGCAUUUAGACUGACUGAGAGCUAUCAGUUUGUCCUUUCGAGAAAAAUAAAAGGCCAACACCAUGGUUAAAAAAGGGUUUUUGUUAACCAUGCUCAAAGUUGCCACUACUCGUGUAUCAUCCAAGCUAUCAUGUGUGUUGAUGGAAAGCGAUCUAUUUGCAAUUAGACUGACUGAAAGCUAUCAGAUUGUCCUUUCCAAUUGCUGAAAAAGUUUCUUGGUUGGAUGCCAACAUCAGCCGUGUGAAGGCAACUCUUAAGACUAAGGACUUGCCUAUUAAAGCCGCUGCCUUCCAUAGCGAACACCAGGCUUUUGAAAGCAGCAUGAAUCCAGUUUUGAACAAACCCAAACCACAGCCUCCUGCCCCACCGGCUGAAGCUGCACAGUCGGGCAAGCCAGAGGAUGCUGCCAACGGCUCAACAAUAGUGCUCCCAGAAUUGAUCCGCGGACCGCAGUCCCGACUCCAUCAUGCGAAAUUAAUUGGCCGUGCAUCACCAACUUAUAUCGGAUGGGCGCUCCGUAUUGAAAACUAUUGCUAAAUUUCAUAAAGCUUUACAUAAUUUUGCUUGGACAAUCAUGUGUAAGUGGUGUAUAAAAUGAAAUGCGUGUUGAAUACAAAUUUUAAAUCGCG